GACGAACGCUGGCGGCGUGCUUAACACAUGCGAGUCGAACGGACAGGCCCGGCUUUUGUGGGGUGCUCGAUUGGCGAACGGGGGAGUAACACGCGAGGAACCUGCCCUUGUCAUUGGGAUAUCUCCUGGAAACUGGGGCGAAUAUCCGGUAGAAGCUCUUGCGCCAUGGGGGGGGUUGGAAAGUGUCGGCGGUGGGGGAUCGACUCGCGGCUUAUCAGCUUGCUGGUGGGGUAGUGGCUGACCAGGGCUUUGACGGGUAGCCGGCCUGGGAGGGUGACCGGCCACAUUAGGACUGAGAUACGGCGCAGACUCGUACGGUAGGCAGCGGUGGAGAGUAUUACACAGUAGGCGGGAGCCUGAUGCGGCAACGCCGCGUGCGGGAAGACGGGCUUCGGGUUGUAAACCGAUUUCGCCUGUGACGAGGCGUGAGUGACGGUACUGGAUAAAGAAGCACCGGCUAACUACGUG
rnacentral:rRNA from 1 species